GUGAGGAAUUUUCCGCAAUGGGCGAAAGCCUGACGGAGCAAUGCCGCGUGAAGGAUGAAGGCCUAUGGGUUGUAAACUUCUUUUCUCAGAAAAGAAUUAUGACGGUAUCUGAGGAAUAAGCAUCGGCUAACUCUGUGCCAGCAGCCGCGGUAAGACAGAGGAUGCAAGCGUUAUCAGGAAUGAUUGGGCGUAAAGCGUCUGUAGGUUGUUUAAAAAGUAUUCAGUCAAAGAUUAGGGCUUAACCCUAGCUAGGAAGAAUAAACUUUUAAGCUAGAGUUUGGUAGAGGCAGAUGGAGUUCCCGGUGGAGCGGUGAAAUGCGUAGAUAUCGGGUGGAACACCAAAGGCGAAGGCACUCUGCUGGGCCAAUACUAACACUGGGAGACGAAAGCGAGGGGAGCAAAUGGGAUUAGAAACCCGGGUAGUCC
rnacentral:rRNA from 1 species